rnacentral:rRNA from 1 species
AUUGAACGCUGGCGGCAGGCCUAACACAUGCAAGUCGAGCGAGCGGCGGACGGGUGAGUAAUGUCUGGGAAACUGCCUGAUGGAGGGGGAUAACUACUGGAAACGGUAGCUAAUACCGCAUACCAUCAGAUGUGCCCAGCUGGGAUUAGCUAGUAGGUGGGGUAACGGCCCACCUAGGCGACGAUCCCUAGCUGGUCUGAGAGGAUGACCAGCCACACUGGAACUGAGACACGGUCCAGACUCCUACGGGAGGUAGCAGUGGAGAAUAGUGCACAAUGGGCGCAAGCCUGAUGCAGCCGUGCCGCGUGUGUGAAGAAGGCCUUCGGGUUGUAAAGCACUUUCAGCGGGGAGGCGUUACCCGCAGAAGAAGCACCGGCUAACUCCGUGCCAGCCGCCGCGGUAAUUC